rnacentral:rRNA from 1 species
CUGAGGCGUGAUGACGAGGCACUACGGUGCUGAAGCAACAAAUGCCCUGCUUCCAGGAAAAGCCUCUAAGCAUCAGGUAACAUCAAAUCGUACCCCAAACCGACACAGGUGGUCAGGUAGAGAAUACCAAGGCGCUUGAGAGAACUCGGGUGAAGGAACUAGGCAAAAUGGUGCCGUAACUUCGGGAGAAGGCACGCUGACACGUAGGUGAAGUGAUUUACUCAUGGAGCUGAAGUCAGUCGAAGAUACCAGCUGGCUGCAACUGUUUAUUAAAAACACAGCACUGUGCAAACACGAAAGUGGACGUAUACGGUGUGACGCCUGCCCGGUGCCGGAAGGUUAAUUGAUGGGGUCAGCGCAAGCGAAGCUCCUGAUCGAAGCCCCGGUAAACGGCGGCCGUAACUAUAACGGUCCUAAGGUAGCGAAAUUCCUUGUCGGGUAAGUUCCGACCUGCACGAAUGGCGUAAUGAUGGCCAGGCUGUCUCCACCCGAGACUCAGUGAAAUUGAACUCGCUGUGAAGAUGCAGUGUACCCGCGGCAAGACGGAAAGACCCCGUGAACCUUUACUAUAGCUUGACACUGAACAUUGAGCCUUGAUGUGUAGGAUAGGUGGGAGGCUUUGAAGUGUGGACGCCAGUCUGCAUGGAGCCGGCCUUGAAAUACCACCCUUUAAUGUUUGAUGUUCUAACGUGGACCCGUUACCCGGGUUGCGGACAGUGUCUGGUGGGUAGUUUGACUGGGGCGGUCUCCUCCUAAAGAGUAACGGAGGAGCACGAAGGUUGGCUAAUCCUGGUCGGACAUCAGGAGGUUAGUGCAAUGGCAUAAGCCAGCUUGACUGCGAGCGUGACGGCGCGAGCAGGUGCGAAAGCAGGUCAUAGUGAUCCGGUGGUUCUGAAUGGAAGGGCCAUCGCUCAACGGAUAAAAGGUACUCCGGGGAUAACAGGCUGAUACCGCCCAAGAGUUCAUAUCGACGGCGGUGUUUGGCACCUCGAUGUCGGCUCAUCACAUCCUGGGGCUGAAGUAGGUCCCAAGGGUAUGGCUGUUCGCCAUUUAAAGUGGUACGCGAGCUGGGUUUAGAACGUCGUGAGACAGUUCGGUCCCUAUCUGCCGUGGGCGCUGGAGAACUGAGGGGGGCUGCUCCUAGUACGAGAGGACCGGAGUGGACGCAUCACUGGUGUUCGGGUUGUCAUGCCAAUGGCACUGCCCGGUAGCUAAAUGCGGAAGAGAUAAGUGCUGAAAGCAUCUAAGCACGAAACUUGCCCCGAGAUGAGUUCUCCCUGAGACUUUAGGUCUCCUGAAGGAACGUUGAAGACGACGACGUUGAUAGGCCGGGUGUGUAAGCGCAGCGAUGCGUUGAGCUAACCGGUACUAAUGAACCGUGAGGCUUAACC